rnacentral:rRNA from 1 species
CAGGUAGGAAUACCCCGCUGAACUUAAAGCAUAUCAAUAAAGCGGAAGGAAAAAG